rnacentral:rRNA from 1 species
GACGAAGGAUGCAAGCGUUAUCCGGAUUCAUUGGGUUUAAAGGGAGCGUAGGCGGUCUUGUAAGUCAGUGGUGAAAUCUCUUCGCUUAACGAAGAAACUGCCAUUGAUACUGCAGGACUUGAGUACAGAUGCUGUGGGCGGAAUAUGACAUGUAGUGGUGAAAUGCGUAGAGAUCCGGAGGAACACCAGUGGUGCAAACGGCGCCCUGGGUCCGAACUGACGCUGAAGCACGAAAGCGUGGGGAGCGAACGGG